AAGUCGUAACAAGGUAACCGUAGGUGAACCUGCGGUUGGAUCAUUACUGAUUUUGCCAAGGUUAGUCGAGUCUCUUUUAGAGAUUCCUUUCCAAGGUAAUAUACCACUGUGCACUAUGCUGUAUUUUGGGUGAUUGGGGCUAGUACUCGACACCCAGCAUCAUAUGAACCAAUGAAAUUUUUUGUCUGAAAUCGAUUCUAAAUUGAAACAACUUUUGACAACGGAUCUCUUGGCUCUC
rnacentral:misc_RNA from 1 species